rnacentral:lncRNA from 1 species
UUUUCUUUUUUCUCUCCAUUCUCCACUUCUUCAAUUGGGAAGACUUCCUUUUUCCUCACCAUUUCCGUAACUGGUGGCUCCUCCCUCUAUUUGUUCUGCAGGAGGCAACUCGAACUCUCAUCCUGUACAAGCUCUCAACAAUAUCUCUGCAACUGGUUUUGUGGUCCUACAACCAAGCCCUCCAAUUAACAGAACGACAACCGCAUAAGUGCAACAACGUGUAGCGGGAAAUUCAUGAUCAUCAAGCUAUUGACAAGCUAAAGAUCAAUUAACAAGAGUCGCCACCGCGCCUUUAUUGUUUCCAAGGGAAAAGGGAAAAAGUAUGAACAAAACCCAAAAAGUAAGAAGUUUUCAAAUAAAAACUAAUAAAAGUCAGAGAUUACAGGUAAGGGGGUUGGUUACACAGAGGGAAGGUGUUAGCACCCAAAGUGUCCUAGGUACUCCUAGGGAGCCCUUUUUGUAUGCAUAUGUACUUGGUAUAAAGUGAUGUUUUACAAAAACAAAUUGAAUGGGGGGAUGAGAAAAGAUUCAUUAAUUACAUUUUUGUGUUUGACAAGACUUUCGGUCUUGUGCCUACGUACCAACUAAAAAUGAGGGAUCAAAACCUCGUAGUUCAUGCUAAAUAAUUUCAAAAUGAGUGUGUUAGUUUUAACAAAAUUUAAGUUUGAAAGGCACAAAUCCUGAAAAUGGUUUUUGAAUGAGUUAGUUCUUUUUGGCUUUUUUGAAAGUUUAAGUCAAGUAUAGUUAAAUUUAUUUACAAGUUUGAUUUAAGAAAAUAAGUUUGAAAAUGCAAUGGCAUAAGGCCAAAGUUUCUAUCUUUUUUAAAAGUGGUCAAAGUUUGGAACAAAAGUAGUUCACACAAAGAAGAUUUUGAAAAUGGAGGGAGAGAUUUUGAAAUUAAAGAAAAUAGGGAGAAGAUGAAGAGACUACCCUAUGCACAAAAAUUUAAAAGUUUAAAGUUGAAAAGAUCUGACCAAAUGGGUAGCAAUCCAAUAGACAAGUAUGUCAAUAGAAACCCAGAAUUCCCUUGGACUUUUAGAAUCAAGCAACACACAAAUGCAUAAUUAUCAUCUUGAAGAGCAAAGGCAUCAAAUAAAGAUGGCUUCAUCCAAGCUUAUCCACUUCAUGAUCUUCUCCAAAAUAGCCUAUGUAGCAAAUGAAUUCCAUAAAUCACAGGUUCAAAAUAACAGCUUCACAAUGAUCAAUGUUGCAGAUGACUCUUAGAGAGAUCUUCAAAGAUGUAUCAGAUGAAUUUUAGAUUGCAAGCACUUGGUUCUUCAACAAAUUGGCAUUGUCCAAGUCCAUUAACAAAGGAAUGUUGCCUAAGUUCUAAGUCCAUUUGGGCAAGAUUAACCCAACAGUCCACUCAAAAGUUUUUUAGGGUUUUUAUGAUUAUUAUGUGCAUUAAUGGUCAAAGACCACACAAACAAACAAAGUAUAUACAAACAAAGUAUAUCACACAAUAUGGUCCAAAUGGACAAAGUGAAAAUUACAUUAACAUAAACAAUUAGAAUGAUAUGUAUAAUGGCAAAUGAUAUAAAGUGCUAAAAGUAAAUUGCAUUAAAGUAAAAGUAUAUCACACAAUAUGGUCCAAAUGGACAAAGUGAAAAUUACAUUAACAUAAACAAUUAGAAUGAUAUGUAUAAUGGCAAAUGAUAUAAAGUGCUAAAAGUAAAUUGCAUUAAAGUAAAGACUUAAAGUUAAAAUUUAAUGGUUAGUAAGUUAGUAGUUAGUUUUGUUUUACUUUUACUUUUCAAGACAUUCUUUGGAGAACACUCAACCCACUUGCCACAAGCAUGGAUCCUUGAACCAAAACAUCUUCUAAAGGAAGGAAAGAAGGCCAGGUUUCCACACAAUACCAUGGAAGAGGGGAGACUUACAAUCUCACUAACUAGAAUGCUUAUGUCUUCUGUGUCACAAGUUUAGCGCUAUGUUAAGCAAUCGUAAUUGGACUUAUGUAGAAGUCACAACUAUUUGAGGUCGGGCAAUAAACUUUUGGUGUUAAUGCAUGUUGGAGACAUAGUAUAUGAACUAUGCUCAUUAAACAUACCACACACAAAAAAUAUAUGCAAAAGGUGUGGCCUAAUCUCAUCCAUACUCAUGUUAAUCUUUCAAUCAACUAGCAUUAGGACUUUGAGAUGUCAUAGGCCAAAUGGAAAUGAAUAGAUGAAGAAGGGGAAUUAGAUGAAGUGGGAAGGGGAUGAAUGAGAUCACAAAUUGGUCAAAGGAGGACUUUUACCAAAUUAAUAUCAUUCAUUCAUUUUAGGAGAUGGAAUGUACAUUCCAUCAAUCCCCUAAAUCCAAUGAUAUUAACUUAACAAAGUCAAUCAACCUUGACCAAGGCCCAAUAACAAACAAGCAAACUCAAUUAAGUCAAUACAAAUGGUCAACAAAAUUUAAAUGACAUUUAUUCAAUAAAAAAUAGUAAAGUAAUGCAUUAAAUUCAAAUAUGUUUUGUCCAAUUCCUAAAAUCUCAUCUAAACACCAAAGAAAUGGCCAUGAGAUUUAUCGUAGGUCAAACAAGGUCAAAGGACCUUGGAGAAAAAAUUUCAUAAUUUUUGGACAUUUAAAAAUAUUUUUAAACAAUUAAAAACAAAUGCAAAAACAAUUAAUUCAUGAAAAAUAUUAAUAAUGAUCCAGAAAAAAUUUCAUAAUUUUUGGACAUUUAAAAAUAUUUUUAAACAAUUAAAAACAAAUGCAAAAACAAUUAAUUCAUGAAAAAUAUUAAUAAUGAUCCAAAAAAUAAUUUUAAUUCAGAAUAUGAAAUAGAAAAACAUUUGAAUUUUUUUGGUGAAAGUCCCAUAUUUUUUGGAUCAAUAUUGAAUUUAAUAUGAAUUAUUGAAGAAAAAGCAAUUAAAACAAAAUUUCAGAAAUUGUAAAUUACGUGGACAAUCAGAUCUCCCUCAUUAAUUGAGGUGGCAAAUCUGAUGAUUCAAAAAGCGCGUUCCAUGUGUUCCUGAGUCAACCGCAUGGUACAAAUGGUAAUUAAAACAAACGCUUCAGAUUAAAACGUGAGACAUGGAUCCUAUGGUUCAGAAGUGAGACACAUCAUCGUCGGAGCCAGAGCUCCGGUAAUCUUCCCCGGUGAGCUCCACCGGACUGGUCAAGAUGAACCAUCAUUAAAAUAAAAAACAGGGACAUGAUCUUGAAGAAAAAAUGGCACUGAGCUCGAAUCUGACCUUCAAUUAUUCCAAUUCCAAAUAUAUUGAGAGAUAUGUGGAUUUGAAAAUUGAGGUACAUGGUCUGAGUUGCUUCGAUUUGACCUCAAAGCAACUCAAUCUUCUUGCUUACAUUGGUAGGACUUCAUACAACCAAAGAAUCAAUGGAAUUGAGCAAGAACUUAGGAGAAUCGAAGAAUUUAAUUUUUUUGCAAAUUACCUUCAAUGGAGGUCUGAACACGAUGGGUCUUGAUCUGAAUUGUGCUUGGACUCACUUCAAUCACUUGCAGGAAGAGAAUGGAAAGGUUUAGAAGCAAUGGAUUCCUAGAGAAUUGAAUUCCAAAACAGUGGAGAUUCAAGCUCAAAUUCAAAUGAAUUUAUCAGGUUGAUCCUAUGAGAGUGAAGGGUUUGAAGAGGGGGAUCAAAGAUGUCGCAAUGGUGUGUGUAAUUUUGAGUAUAAGGGCCUCAGUUUAUAGAUGAAUCCAUGUGAUAUUUGCACACUCUCUCCACUUUCUAAAAUUGGCAAAUGAUGAUGGAAUGGUGCAUGGGCGCGCAUAGGCCCAUGAAAUGAUAGCUGCAGGUCCAAAAUGAAUGAUCAGAUGUGUUGGAGUUAGCUUAGAUUGCAAGGCAAGUGUGCAUUGUUGCUUGAAGAUUGAUCCAUGCCAAAUGAUAUCAGCCUGUUUAAGCCAUGCGCAGCCUAUGCAUUUCUCAUCCAAAAUGAAUGAAUUUGAGCUCUUUGGAAAGGUGAGAUCAAGAGGAACAAGUUUGAUGUUGAACACUUUUUCAUUUGGAACUUGGAACUUGGAGAAAUUUGAGGUGGAAGUUUGGAAAAUUUUGACAUAUCAAAAUUUUUCUAAGUGUCAAGCCAUAUGUCUCAAUAUUCCACCUUGCUUAACUUUUUAUAUGAGCUUCAAAUGAGAAACGUGUCUUCAUAAAAGUUAUCUCUCUCUCAAAGACAUUCAUAAUGGUCACCAAUUUCAUGUCAUUUGGAUUUGAAAUGAUAGAGUUAUGCAUUUUUGAAGUUUGGAAAAAUCACUUGCUCAAUGGUAUAGGUCAAAAGUGACCUAUAAUGUAGCUUCAUAUCACAUGCUCAAAAAAGUUGAAUUAGCUCCCACUCCAAACAUAAAAGUUGAAUUAGACACAUUGAAUUUGAUUGUGAAACUUGGAAAUAUUUCAUCUCAUAAAAAUUAAGCAAGUUAUGGCCUUCGGAAGUUAACUUUUAAAUUAGGGUUUAGACAAAAUGACCUAUAAUGUUUCAACAUAGAAAAUGACUUUCCAAGCAAAACUAGCUCUAGGUCUUAACAUGAAAGUUGUUUGGAAUGUCAUUUAGAGUAAUAUUUCUCUUGGAAUCAUUUUCAUAUGGUGAAAAUUGUAGGAUAUAGGGUCUAGGGAGACCCAGAUUUGAUCAGAUGAAUUCAUGUGGCCAACCACCAUCAACCAACUUGCUAACUUCCAAUUCUCUUGACUUUCUUGGCUCAUGGUAGAUCAUAUAUACAUAAUAUGAUGAAUAUUAAAGUGUACCUUAAGGAAUUUGAUCAAUUGGUGAGAUAGCUUAUUGGAGAAGUUACUCAAGAUACCCAGUCAAAUUAGGGUUUCCAAGGCAAAUCACCCUCAAACUCUUGAAGCAGACUUGAUCAAUAUAACAUGUAAAGAACAUUGGAAUCAUAUAUGAUGCUCAUAACCAUUAUUAAAUCAAUUCAUGGUUGUGCUUUUUGUUCAUAAGGGUCUCAAACCCUAGAUGUGAACUUGAUGAAUCAAUGAGAUCAUGCCCUACCUACAAAAGAGUUAGGCAAAAUGCAAAGACAUAUUGUUGGUAUUUUAGUUAGUAAAAUGAUAGUAUACAAGUAUGAAAUAAUCACAAAAUGCUUGGUGAUCUCUCGCAAAAUAAACCCAAUGAAAAGGGAUAAGGAGGAUGCCAAGGUAUGAUCCCAAUGCUUAUGCUUAUGAUGAAAUUGCAUGAGGGAUCUUAGGGUCAAAAUUGGGGUCUUACACAGCGGAGGAGAAGAAGAAAGGAAAUCGGAAAAGGAAGAAGCGAUACAUACCUCUUGAUUCAUUGUGCCGGACGGUAAACGCGAUCGCUCCAACCUCCACCACCAGUUACAAACACCGGUGAACAGAACGACAAGAAUCGGAAAUAGAAGCAGGUCGGUGCAAACGCAACGCG